rnacentral:rRNA from 2 species
UGGGGAAUAUUGGGCAAUGGGCGAAAGCCUGACCCAGCGACGCCGCGUGAGGGAAGAAGGUCUUCGGAUUGUAAACCUUUGUUGACAGGUACGAAAGAUGACGGUACCUGUCGAGGAAGCCACGGCUAACUACGUGCCAGCAGCCGCGGUAAUACGUAGGUGGCGAGCGUUAUCCGGAUUUACUGGGUGUAAAGGGUGUGUAGGCGGAGAUGCAAGUCAGGUGUGAAAAUUAUGGGCUCAACCCAUAACCUGCGCCUGAAACUGUGUCCCUUGAGAGUCGGAGGGGUAAACGGAAUUCCUGGUGUAGCGGUGAAAUGCGUAGAUAUCAGGAGGAACACCGGUGGCGAAGGCGGUUUACUGGACGACAACUGACGCUGAGACACGAAAGUGUGGGGAGCAAACAGG